GAUAUAUUCCCCCAGUCCCAAAAUUCUUGUCUUAGAUUUGUCUAAAUAUGGAUGUAUCAAGUCACAUUUUAGUAUUAGAUACACCCGUAUCUAGACAAACCUAAGACAAGAAUUUUGGGCCGGAGGGAGUAUAUA
rfam:Triticum aestivum genome assembly, contig: Triticum_aestivum_CS42_TGACv1_scaffold_224876_3B